rnacentral:lncRNA from 1 species
UCAUGCUCACAUAUCAUGUCCAUACACCAUGUCCACUACUAUACGAUACAAACAACCAUAACAAAUAAACAUAACAUAACAUCCUUUAAAUCUUUACAUCAUCUUGCAUAAACAUACAUCAAGCCUCUCAUACAUAUACAUGCCACUCUAUCAACACCUAGCUAUGCUAUUACAUCCAAACACGGCAACCCAUGCUCAAACCACUCUGCUUUUCCCAUAGCUCACUCUGCUGAACUCUGGCCCUGC